UUUUGCAGCCGUUAUCAACCCUGUUCCCCCUCAUUUGUCUUGUGCAACUUCAUCUCUCCCAAAAUACUUCACACAGACUCAUAAUCCCUACCCCCACACCUUAUGAUCGACCUCUCCGACACCCCAUGCUCCGAUAACCACUCACAGCCUUCGUUCCCUCCCUUUUCGAUUUGAUUCUAGUCGAGACAUCUCCAAACACACACACACACACACACCAUCCUCCACCUCUGGUCGACGACCGACGACGAGCGCGAGCUCCGACGAGGAUCUUUGGUGCGACAUGAUCGAAGAGAGAAGCUGAGAGAGACGACGGCAGUGCCGCCAUCUGCGUCGGCGGAGACAGUCGCUCAGCCCCGAUUCGGCUCGAUUUUGGUUGGCUGUUUUGAGUUCCGGUUCGGGUCGAGUCUCUUUCAUCGGUGGUUCGGUCUCGGGUCAGCCAAUUCAGCUUCUGCUCGGGUUGCUUCGAUUCAAGUUUUGGUUCCGGUGGAACCGACAAUGGUGGCGGUGGAGGUAUUUAUCAGUUCAGUCCCGAUUCCGUUCAGGUUCGUUUGAGUGAUCAACGCAAGGCGAGUGUUUCCAUCACGGUCUGCUAAUUGUUCCUGCUCAUCUAUUGGGGAUAACUCCAACCGCUUCAAGUUUCCUAAUUCGUGCGCUUAAUUUUUACAAUGGAAUCGCAAUCGCAACCACUCAUACACUCGAGACUUCGGGGUUCCUUCCUCCUAAUCUCUUACGCUCGUCAACACUUGGAUAAUCGGAAGACUUAGCAAUUUUGAUAACUCCAACCGCUUCAAGUUUCCUAAUUCGUGCGCUUAAUUUUUACAAUGGAAUCGCAAUCGCAACCACUCAUACACUCGAGACUUCGGGGUUCCUUCCUCCUAAUCUCUUACGCUCGUCAACACUUGGAUAAUCGGAAGACUUAGCAAUUUUGUUGAUGAUGACGAUGCUAUGAAAAGAAGUAACGUUGAUGCCUAGAUACACAUAUAGACGUUUAGGUUUAAUAUGUUGUAUCAAUUUUGAUUAUGUUGUUACGUAUUUCCUUUGAACAUGUUGUUAUUUGAAUUUCCUUGUAUGUUUGAUAAUUUAUCUAUGAAAUGAAAUCGAUUUAUUAAAUA